rnacentral:lncRNA from 1 species
AACGAUCGCAUUUUAAACCGAUAAAUGUGUACAGAAAGGAGUCAUGAUCACUGACCCAAAGGAAAUUAAAUAUUUAAAGAGUUAGGAAUGGGGUUCCUCCUAGAAUUAAUCAAAUUUUAAUAUAGAAAAAUAGGUGAUAAGAUACGAAGUGAAAUACCUUCUCUCAGUCUGAGCACAUCGAAGAGAGAAGCGAGAGAAGCUCUACUGUGAUAGUCGACUUUGGUAUAUUUUUACCCCCUUAUUGAUAGGAUUUCAAACUCCUGUGGUCUGAGCACAGGCAAUUGUUUCUAUCCAUUGGAAGACCCACUAUCAACGUAUAUUUACGAGUAAAUAUACGUUGAUAGUGGGUCUUUCAAUGGAUAGAAACAAGUGCCUGUGAGUCUGAGUCUCAGUGACUGCUGUGGAAAGUAAACUUGGAAUUGAUAGUACAAAAAUAAAACAUAGACCUGAUUACAUUGUUUAUACACUUUUAUCCGUGAUUGGCUAUUUUGUAACUAUUUUAAACGUACAGUUGAAUUAGUUUUGAAAAUAAUAUUAUCCAGCUACAUGCAUACAUGUACAUGUGUCAAUGAAACAACGGCAAUCGUAUCCCUCAGAGCAAUCUGCUCUUUGAUUAAGUAUCCACAUCUGAUUCACGCCCCCUCUAGAAUAGGCAGUUUCACAAUAACUUUGAAGCCUGUCUUUGAUUGCUGAUAAAAAAGAUGUUAAUAAUUUAGAAAGAGGUUUCGUGGAGCACUUUGAAGACCCAGCAAUAUACCGUUGUUUGUAAGGACACUUAUGUAGUUUAG